CCUACGGGAGGCUGCAGUGGGGAAUAUUGGACAAUGGGCGAAAGCCUGAUCCAGCAAUGCCGCGUGAGUGAUGAAGGCCUUAGGGUUGUAAAGCUCUUUUACCAGGGAUGAUAAUGACAGUACCUGGAGAAUAAGCUCCGGCUAACUCCGUGCCAGCAGCCGCGGUAAUACGGAGGGAGCUAGCGUUGUUCGGAAUUACUGGGCGUAAAGCGCACGUAGGCGGCUUUUUAAGUCAGAGGUGAAAUCCCGGGGCUCAACCCCGGAACUGCCUUUGAAACUGGGAAGCUAGAAUCUUGGAGAGGCGAGUGGAAUUCCGAGUGUAGAGGUGAAAUUCGUAGAUAUUCGGAAGAACACCAGUGGCGAAGGCGACUCGCUGGACAAGUAUUGACGCUGAGGUGCGAAAGCGUGGGGAGCAAACAGGAUUAGAUACCCCAGUAGUC
rnacentral:rRNA from 1 species